ACCUUGAUGAAUAGCUGCAUCAUGCCCUAGAAAGUCAGGAUCAAAUUCAGAACUCUCUGACUCCUUGGAGUUCCGCCCUGGAAUGUGGAGUGUGCGGAGGGCUCCAGCCUAAGCCCUGGCUCUUACCACCUGUUCCACAGCACAAUCAGAGGGGCUCACAGGAUGCAGACAGACACCUGGGGCCUGAGGCCCAGCUCCACCACCCUAUGGCCCAAGAACUUCCAGAGGACCAGCCCAUAGAGGCCCCGCACAGGCCCUGGAAUUGGGUUGAGGCCAUUUGUGCAGGGAAUUCUGGGAUCUGGGGGACAGCAUGGACCCUGCAUAGGUUUGACCCGUUGGCCCUGCAGACUCCUUGGCCAGUGAGAGGCGAUGCAGAGCACAGGACACAGUUAAGAAAUUAAAUGCUGGACUUCCCUGGUGGUACGGUGGACAAGAACACCUCCCAAUGCAGGGGCCAUGGGUUCAGUCCCUGGUCCAGGAAGAUCCCACAUACCUCGGAACAACUAAGUCCAUGCCCAACUACUGAGCCCGAGGUCUAGAGUUGUGGGCCACAGCUGCUGAAGCCUGUGUCCCGCAACAAGAGAAGCUUCUUUCCUUCUUUAUGAUGAGUGAUACUUGCUUCUAUAAAGUACUAUGAACUUCCAUUCAAACACAUUUCUCUCUUUUGUCAUUUUUAUUUUUGGCCACACCAGGCCUUAGUUGAGGCACAAAGGAG
rnacentral:lncRNA from 1 species